UUCAGGGCUCAGUGGUAGAGCACUUGCCUUCCAUGCACAAGGUCCUGGGUUCAAUAUCCAGAACUGAAA
rnacentral:tRNA from 1 species